ACUAGGCUAGCUCAAUCGGUAGAGUAUAUAACUCUUAAUCUUAGGGUUGUAAGUUCGAGCCCUACACUAGGUG
rnacentral:tRNA from 1 species